UGGUAGUNCACGCCGUAAACGAUGAGUGCUAGGUGUUAGGCCCUUUCCGGGGCUUAGUGCCGGAGCUAACGCAAUAAGCACUCCGCCUGGGGAGUACGACCGCAAGGUUGAAACUCAAAGGAAUUGACGGGGGCCCGCACAAGCGGUGGAGCAUGUGGCUUAAUUCGAAGCAACGCGAAGAACCUUACCAGGUCUUGACAUCCCGAUGCUAUUCUUAGAGAUAGGAAGUUACUUCGGUACAUCGGAGACAGGUGGUGCAUGGUUGUCGUCAGCUCGUGUCGUGAGAUGUUGGGUUAAGUCCCGCAACGAGCGCAACCCUUAUUGUUAGUUGCCAUCAUUAAGUUGGGCACUCUAGCGAGACUGCCGGUAAUAAACCGGAGGAAGGUGGGGAUGACGUCAAAUCAUCAUGCCCCUUAUGACCUGGGCUACACACGUGCUACAAUGGUCGGUACAACGAGUUGCGAGCCGGUGACGGCAAGCUAAUCUCUGAAAGCCGAUCUCAGUUCGGAUUGGAGGCUGCAACUCGCCUCCAUGAAGUCGGAAUCGCUAGUAAUCGCGGAUCAGCACGCCGCGGUGAAUACGUUCCCGGGCCUUGUACACACCGCCCGUCACACCACGAGAGUUUGUAACACCCGAAGUCGGUGAGGUANCCUUUUAGGGGCC
rnacentral:rRNA from 1 species